GGAAGUCGAAGGUUAAAAUCCCUCCUAUUACUCGCGA
rnacentral:tRNA from 1 species